GAACGAUGAUGAGUCUAUCCCGAACCUGACCGAUCUGAUGACACUUUACUAUGGAUCUGACUGCUGAGUU